rnacentral:rRNA from 1 species
GACGAACGCUGGCGGCGUGCUUAACACAUGCAAGUCGAACGGAAAGGCCCUGCUUUUGUGGUGUGCUCGAGUGGCUAACGGGUGAGUAACACGUGAGUAACCUGCUCUUGACUUUGGGAUAACUUCAGGAAACUGGGGCUAAUACCGGAUAGCAUCUCCUGCUGCAUUGUGGGCGUUGGAAAGUUUCGGCGGUUGGGGAUGGACUCGCGGCUUAUCAGCUUGUUGGUUGGGUAGUGGCUUACCAAGGCUUUGACGGGUAGCCGGCCUGAGAGGGUGACCGGCCACAUUGGGACUGAGAUACGGCGCAGACUCCUACGGGAGGCAACAGUGGGGAAUAUUACCCAAUGGGAGGAAGCCUGAUGAGGCAACGCCGCGUGCGGGAUGACGGCCUUCGGGUUGUAAACCGCUUUCGCCUGUGACGAAGCGUGAGUGACGGUAAUGGGUAAAGAAGCACCGGCUAACUACGUG